rnacentral:sRNA from 1 species
GAUGGUAGACUAAAUAUGUACUUUUUGAAUGGUCGUGGUUGCAUGGUUUCAGAACUUUCUUCCACUUGUACCAAACAGAAAUACACGAUAUUAUCAUGCGUCAGCAGACGCAAGGAGGAAUGUUCUCAUGGAACACGGCACAGUUAAAUGGUUCAAUGCUGAAAAGGGUUACGGUUUUAUCACUCGCGAAGAUGGUAGCGAUGUUUUCGUUCACUUCUCAGCUAUCCAAGGCGACGGCUACAAGACCCUCGAAGAAGGCCAAGCAGUCACUUUUGAAGUUGAAGACAGUGAUCGCGGCCCACAAGCGGUUAACGUUAACAAAGACUAAUAUAAAAGUUUCAGAGCUGGUUGCAGAGAUGCAACCGGCUUUUU